GGGGAAGGGCCGGGACAGCCCCGCUGCUGCAGCCUCUUCGCACCCUGUGCCUGCUCCGGGGCACCAUGCGGCGUGGAAGCCGUUUGCUCCUGAAGCAAAAACUCACAAGUGACCCUCUGGAUGCUGGUGCAUGGAGCAAGGAGAGAGCACACACCUGGUGACAGCUGGAGCCAGGAAGAGGUGUGCCCUGUGUGACCCCUGUACCACAUGGCUUACUGCAAACAUGCAGCACACAUGAAGCAUCCAAAACUCUUGGGUCUGUGCAUGCACAACUCACCAUGUCUCGCCAGAUGUAGUGUUUACCAGCAAGGUACUGCACAAUCAUUCUGCUGUCAGGCUUUUUAUCACUCAUGCACAAUCAUGCACUGAAGCAAGGGCCAAGAUUACCAAUGGAAAUAGAAACUGGCAGCAAACUGCUGGCCACUGCAGGACAGGAACAUCUGUCAGGAAAUAUUUAGAAUAAAUGCAGUGGGCCUGUAUCAUGGGUAUGAAAAGAUGAAAUCAUAGUCCCUUCUGGCCUUAUUUCACAUGAAAUGGUGUUAACACUUAAAGUAUCUGUGUUCUGUGUGCCUACAAAUGUUAACCUGCU